rnacentral:lncRNA from 1 species
UCCUCGCAGAAAAAACUAAGUCCAUUUAUAAGUAAAAUACGGAAAAGUGGAAAUUUAUUUUCACAACAUUUUCUUCUUGAUACCAUCUUAUGAUCAUAAACAAGCUUCUGUCCUAGUUUGGUACAUAUCAAGGAUAGUUUAUGAAAGUUAUUAAAAUUUUAAAAACUUUAACCACAGAGUGAAUGUAAUGUUUCCUCGCAGAAAA